UGGGUGCUCUGUAGAGUUGUGUUGUAUCAGCUGAAGUUUAGCUGCUUGGUGGAGCUUCUUUGGGUGUGAUAAAGCUGUGAGAUCUAGAAGAAACAAAGAGUUAGUUGAUAAAUUUCAUGUGCUCCUUUUGAAGAAUUGUUUCUCCUUAUUGUCAAAUGUGGAUUAUGGGUAUUUCUUUCGUACAUAUCUAUCAUUUACUUUAAAUUAAUGAGGUCCACCAUUUUGAAUCUUGCUUUUGCAGUGCGUUGGUUAAAGCUUUUGUUGUAAGCUUGCAAACCACUAUUGCAACUAAACUAUAGAGGAUAUGAAAUAUGGCCAGGACGAGCAACAAAAUGUUAA
rnacentral:lncRNA from 1 species